AUAUAAAGUAAAAUUAAAGGAAACUUUAAUAAAAGCUCGUAACGGUUUUAACGUAUAAAUCGAUCGUUAAAUAUAAAUAUAAAGGCGAAAAAUUAAUUAAAUUAUCUAAUAAUUAAUUACUACCGAAGUUUCCUUUAAAAUAAUAAUAUUAUAUUUAAUUUUAUAAAGUAAAGCGAAUAAUUAAAGACUCGGGGGCGUUAUAUUGCCUUUAUUUAUUCUUAAACUUUAAAUAUAUAAAAAGCCUUUAUUAUUUAAUUAAACGUAAGCCUUCGAAUACACUAACACUAGUGGGCUAUUUUUAAUAAAUAAAACUAACGAUACGGGAUAAACCGAACGCGGGGUUAAGGUACCGGAGUAAACGCUUAUUAAACACUAUAAAAAGCGUUAAUACAUUUUAAUAAUAAAACGGUGGCUAUAAAAGUCGGAAUCCGUUAAAAAUUAUAUAAUAACUUACUUACCGAAUAUAUUAACUUUAAAAAUAAAUAACGCUUAAACGUCCCACCCAUACCCCGCCUUUAAAGUAAAAACAAAGCUUUAAAGAGUAAGCGGCCGUAAAGGUUAAUGACGAAGCUUAAAGCGUAAGCCCGGGUCGAACGGCCUUUAAUAUAAAUCUUAAUAGUAGUAAUAAAUAUUUUAAUAAAAACUUAAAAGACCGAAGUAAAGAAAGGUUUUAUAUAAAUAACGGUUAAACGUGGGUUAGUCGGUCUUAAACUAUAAAGAAAUUCCGUUUUAAAAGGGCAUUUAUACUUCGCUUAACGAAAAGGUAGUAAAUUAAUAUUUUUAUACCUAAAUGUAGGUUUUACGCGGUAACGUAAUUAAACGCGGAGACGACGGUAAGAGCCUUAAGUAAAGUUCUCUUUUCUUUUUAACGGUCCGCCACCUUAAAAAUAGUUUAUUUAAAAAUAAGGUUUAAUAGCCGAAAAAGCUUAACACCUUUACUAAAUUCGGUACGCUUUUAACGUCCCUUAAAAAUCCGCGGGAAGGAAUAAUUCUCACGUUAAACCGUACUUAUAACCGUAGCAAGUCUUUAAGGUAAACAGCCUUUAAUUAAUAAAAUAAUAUAAAUAAGGGAAAUCGGUAAAAUAAAUCCGUAACUUUAAGAAAAAGAUUAACUUUAAAGGUUAAGUGCGUUAAGCCUUUAGCUAAAGCGUUAAGAGCAGGGGGCUAUUAACCGGGUAACCGGCCGAAGGCCUUUAGUACCCGGUGCGGACGCUUUUAACAAACUUCGGCCGUCCGGCGCAUAAUUAAUAAUCAAUUUAAAACUAGUACGGAGAAGGGGAAUUUAACUAUUUAAUUAAAAUAUAAUAUUACGAUAACUAAAAAGUAGUAUUAACGUAAUGUGAUUUUUGUUUAAUGCUUUAAAUAUUAUAGUAAAGAGAUUUAAUUAAGCGCGGGUAAAUAGCGAGAGUAAUUAUAACUCUCUUAAGGUAACCAAAUACUUCGUCAUUUAAUUAAUGACGCGUAUAAAUAAAUUAACGAGAUUCCCAUUAUCCUUAUUUACUAUUUAACGAAACUAUAAUUAAAGGAACGGGCUUAAUAAAAUCAACGGGGAAAGAAGACCUUAUUAAGCUUAACUUUAAUUUAACAUUAUAAAAAGAUAUAAAAGGUAUAGAAUAAGUGGGAGCUUCGGCGCCGGUGAAAUACUACUACUUUUAUUAUUUUUUUACUUAUUUAAUAAAGCGGGGCUAAACGUAUAUUUAACUUUUAAUAUUAAAGUCUUUCGCGGGCCGACCCGGGUUAAAGAUAUUAUUAAGUAAAGAGUUUAAUUAAAGCGGUACAUUUAUUAAACUAUAACGUAAGUGUUUUAAAAGGGGCUUAUAAAGAAUAAAAAUUUUUAAUAAAAUAAAAGGGUAAAAGUCUUUUUAAUUUUAAUUUUUAAUGUAAAUAUAAACUAUAAAAGUGUGGCUUAUUAAUCUUUUAAUUUUUCGAAAUUUAAAGUUAAAAGUAUUAAAAAAGUUAUUAUAAAGAUAACUAAUUUAUAACGGCCAAGCGUUUAUAACGACGUCGCUUUUUAAUUUUUCGAUAUCGGCUCUUCUUAUUAUACCGAAACAAAAUUCGGUAAGCGUUAAAUUAUUUACCUAUUAAUAAAAAACGUAAGCUAGGUUUAAACCGUCGUAAGACAAGUUAAUUUUACCCUAUUAAUAACCUCGCCGUAAUAAUAAUUAAGCUUAAUACGAGAAGAACCGCUUAUUUAAAUAAUUAGUUUUUACGGUUAUCCGACCGGGUAGUGCCGCGAAGUUACCAUCUAUUAAAUAAUGGUUAAACGCCUUUAAAUUAAAAUUUAUACUAAAACGCGGCGACACCUCCCGCACGUUAUAAACGGAUUAAAAUAAGCUUCGGCCUCGUAUCUUAAUAAGCGGUUUUAUUAUUAAGCUAGAAAAAGCUCGGUAGUCUUCCGCGUAUCGUAAUUUUACUACGCGCGGAAUUAAAUCCUUUAUAAACGACUUAGCUAUGCGAAAAGGUUUUAUAAAUAAUAAAGUAACCUUAUUAUUACGAUUUAUUAAGGGUAAGCCUUUUUUCGCCUCGAUUUUUU
rnacentral:rRNA from 1 species